rnacentral:rRNA from 1 species
UGGGGAAUAUUGGACAAUGGGCGAAAGCCUGAUCCAGCAAUGCCGCGUGAGUGAUGAAGGCCUUAGGGUUGUAAAGCUCUUUUACCCGGGAUGAUAAUGACAGUACCGGGAGAAUAAGCUCCGGCUAACUCCGUGCCAGCAGCCGCGGUAAUACGGAGGGAGCUAGCGUUGUUCGGAAUUACUGGGCGUAAAGCGCGCGUAGGCGGCUUUGUAAGUUAGAGGUGAAAGCCCGGAGCUCAACUCCGGAACUGCCUUUAAAACUGCAUCGCUUGAAUCCAGGAGAGGUGAGUGGAAUUCCGAGUGUAGAGGUGAAAUUCGUAGAUAUUCGGAAGAACACCAGUGGCGAAGGCGGCUCACUGGACUGGUAUUGACGCUGAGGUGCGAAAGCGUGGGGAGCAAACAG